rnacentral:tRNA from 1 species
GGGCCAUAGCUCAGUGAUAGAGCAUCUACUUUGCAUGCAGGAGGUCCCAGGUUCAAUCCUUGGCAUCUCCA